rnacentral:rRNA from 1 species
UCCGAAGGUGGCAAUCGUUGUUCGGAUUUACUGGGCGUAAAGGGAGCGUAGGCGGUUUGGUAAGCCCUCCGGGAAAUCUCCCGGCCCAACCGGGAAAGGUCGGAGGGGACUGCUAGGCUAGAGGGCGGGAGAGGAGCGCGGAAUUCCCGGUGUAGCGGUGAAAUGCGUAGAGAUCGGGAGGAAGGCCGGUGGCGAAGGCGGCGCUCUGGAACGAUCCUGACGCUGAGGCUCGAAAGCGUGGGGAGAAAACAGG